AAAUAUGCUGGUUGGCAGAAUAGAUAGAGAGAGUGAAGUCAUGGCGGUUUAUCAGGUCAUUCAUCUGUGAUCGGGACAUUUUCUGGAAAAAUAGAAAACUUUUCAACAAGAUCGAAAUCCUGUCGCACAUGUACUUUGUCUCUCAAUUCAAAAUCAACACCUCCUCCACAUGAUUGCAUUAUCAACUGGAACGGGAAGUUCUAUGAAGGCCAUGGAGAGUGACAUGAUAGAAGAGAUGGUCAAGGAUGGGAACGAUGGGUCUAUUUGUAUAAAGACAAUAGUUGGUGAUGAAGAUAGCACAAUGAUUUCCAAACUUCGGACAAACAUUGACACAAAUAUUGGUAAAACAUUGGAUGCUUAUCAUGUGAAGGAAAUCUUAAGGAACCAUCUAUAUUGUGAAAAAAUAACACACAACUUUAACUUUCCAAGUCAUACAGUAUCUCAAAAGAUGUUUAUACUACAUCUUUGCCCAAAUAAAAGCAGAUGUUGCAAGGAUAAGCCAAGGAUGUGCUCUUGUCUGCUUCAAUAUUUAUGUUAGAUAUAUAAUGAAAUUGUUGAUAGCGUUCGUUCUGGAGCGGUAAUUGUCAGCUUCAUUAGUUAUGCUAGAUUGGUAAUACAUGUAACAAUGUUGAAAGGACUUUUGAUUUGGGUGCAUUAUUUGUAUAAGUUUGUUGAUCUAUUACAUAGAACAUAUACGUGAGGAGUUAAUUAUGUCCAGUAUAAACUUGAUUAGUAUUUAAAAAAAUUCAUACCAUAAUAUAUGGUUGUAACAGUAAUGGAUGUUGUUCUGCCAAAAUAGCUUAAAAUUAUAUUCGGCAUUUGUACUGUGCAUUUUGUUCAUGAUGUAAUGCUGAUUUCAAUCUUUUUUUAUGUUUCAGAGUUGAAAAAAAUAAUUAUAAGAUACAUGUAGCAAAUCAUAAAUUAAAUAUUUAUUUGUAUAUACCUACUAGAAUAAUUUUGUUCCUACCUGGUAUAUUGUUAUAAGGUGCAAAUUGUUUAAAAAUUUGUAUUUUAGCAGAGGAAUUUCAAGUUCAGCAGAGGAAAUUUGGGAUUUAAAUGAAUAUUUUUUUACUUUUUUGGUGAAUUUUAUAAAGUACAAGCAUUGUAGUAAAGAUAUUAUUAAUUGACUCAAUGUUUAUUGAACAAAAAGUUGGUAUUGAUUAUUUUAUCUACACUAGAAUGGUAAUCAAGUGAAAAUGGCGUGAAAUUGUAAAAACAGACCAGAGUAAAUUCAGAUUGCAAUAUCUUUUUAUCUAAGUCAUUGACAUAUGAGUUUCUCCUUUUCCAGUGAAAGCAUAACAUUUGCAUAUUUCGUUUAAGUUCAAAAAUAAAACUUCCAAUUAUAUCAAAACAGGUUUUUUUUUUACCAUUUUGCAUUGAAGGUCAACACAAAAAGCAACAAAUUUGAACCAUGCAGAGGAAAUUCGGUCGCACAUUGUAUGAUACUGAGGAGGCUUUCAGAAUUUUUUUUUUAAUAAAUUGUUCUUCUGUCAAUGUAUUAUAAAUAGCAUAUAAGAAAAAUGAAAUAAAAUUACUAUAAACGA